rnacentral:rRNA from 1 species
AACGUGGAUAAUCUGCCCUGCACAGGGGGACAACAGCUAGAAAUGGCUGCUAAUACCGCAUAAGCCUACAGCCUCGCAUGAGGGAGUAGGAAAAGAAAUUCGGUGCAGGAUGAGUCCGCGUCUGAUUAGCUAGUUGGAGGGGUAAGAGCCCACCAAGGCAACGAUCAGUAGCCGGCCUGAGAGGGCGACCGGCCACAUUGGGACUGAGACACGGCCCAAACUCCUACGGGAGGCAGCAG